UACGUAGGAGGCGAGCGUUGUCCGGAGUUACUGGCGUAAAGCGCACGCAGGCGGUCCUAUUAGUCUGGGGUGACAGUUCCCGGCCUUAACCGGAAAAGGACUCUGGAAACUGUAGGACUUGAGGGCUUCAGAGGGAUGUGGAAUUCCAGGUGGAGUGGUGAAAUGCGUAGAGAUCUGGAAGAACACCAAAGGCGAAGGCAGCAUCCUGG
rnacentral:rRNA from 1 species